rnacentral:rRNA from 1 species
CUAUGCGCCUUGCCAGCCCGCUCAGGUGUGCCAGCCGCCGCGGUAAUACGGAGGAUGCGUAGCGUUAUCCGGAUUUAUUGGGUUUAGAGGGUGCGUAGGCGGAUUUUUAAGUCAGCGGUAAAAUGUCCGGGCUCAACCCGGGCCGGCCGUUGAAACUGGGGAUCUUGAGUGGGCGAGAAGUAUGCGGAAUGCGUGGUGUAGCGGUGAAAUGCAUAGAUAUCACGCAGAACUCCGAUUGCGAAGGCAGCAUACCGGCGCCCGACUGACGCUGAGGCACGAAAGCGUGGGUAUCGAACAGG